rnacentral:rRNA from 1 species
UACGUAGGGGGCAAGCGUUGUCCGGAAUUAUUGGGCGUAAAGAGCGCGUAGGCGGUCCGAUAAGUCGGCUGUGAAAGUCAGGGGCUCAACCCUUGAAAGCCGGCCGAUACUGUCGGACUAGAGUCCGGAAGAGGCAAGUGGAAUUCCCGGUGUAGCGGUGAAAUGCGCAGAUAUCGGGAGGAACACCAAUGGCGAAGGCAGCUUGCUGGGACGGUACUGACGCUGAGGUGCGAAAGCGUGGGGAGCAACAGG